rnacentral:rRNA from 1 species
UACGUAGGGUGCAAGCGUUGUCCGGAAUUAUUGGGCGUAAAGAGCUCGUAGGCGGUUCGUCACGUCGGCUGUGAAAUCCCGAGGCUCAACCUCGGGUCUGCAGUCGAUACGGGCGGACUUGAGUACUGCAGGGGAGACUGGAAUUCCUGGUGUAGCGGUGAAAUGCGCAGAUAUCGGGAAGAACACCCGUGGCGAAGGCGGUUCUCUGGGACGGUACUGACGCUGAGACGCGAAAGCGUGGGGAGCGAACAGG